rnacentral:ncRNA from 1 species
GAUAUGAAAAUAUUGUUGGGUAGGGGAGCGUUCUGUAAGCCUGCGAAGGUGGACUGUGAGGUCUGCUGGAGGUAUCAGAAGUGCGAAUGCUGACAUAAGUAACGAUAAAGCGGGAAAAGCCGCUCGCCGGAAGACCAAGGGUUCCUGUCCAACGUUAAUCGGGGCAGGGUAACGCGUUAAGUCGACCGCCUGGGGAGUACGGCGCAAGGUUAAAACUCAAAUGAAUUGACGGGGGGCCGCACAAGCGGUGGAGCAUGUGGUUUAAUUCGAUGCAACGCGAAGAACCUUACCUACUCUUGACAUCCAGAGAACUUAGCAGAGAUGCUUUGGUGCCUUCGGGAACUCUGAGACAGGUGCUGCAUGGCUGUCGUCAGCUCGUGUUGUGAAAUGUUGGGUUAAGUCCCGCAACGAGCGCAACCCUUAUCCUUUGUUGCCAGCGAGUCAUGUCGGGAACUCAAAGGAGACUGCCGGGUGAUAAACCGGAGGAAGGUGGGGAUGACGUCAAGUCAUCAUGGCCCUUACGAGUAGGGCUACACACGUGCUACAAUGGCGUAUACAAAGAGAAGCUAACUCGCGAGAGCAUGCGGACCUCAUAAAGUACGUCGUAGUCCGGAUCGGAGUCUGCAACUCGACUCCGUGAAGUCGGAAUCGCUAGUAAUCGUGGAUCAGAAUGCCACGGUGAAUACGUUCCCGGGCCUUGUACACACCGCCCGUCACACCAUGGGAGUGGGUUGCAAAAGAAGUAGGUAGCUUAACCUUCGGGAGGGCGCUUACCACUUUGUGAUUCAUGACUGGGGUGAAGUCGUAACAAGGUAACCGUAGGGGAACCUGCGGUUGGAUCACCUCCUUA